rfam:Salmo salar isolate Sally breed double haploid chromosome ssa05, whole genome shotgun sequence.
AAUUAUUGCUCAUGUACGUCGCUCUGGAUAAGAGCGUCUGCUAAAUGACGUAAA